rnacentral:misc_RNA from 1 species
UCUCGGCUUAUCACCGGCAGUCCCCCUAGAGUGCCCAACUGAAUGAUGGCAACUAAGGGCGAGGGUUGCGCUCGUUGCGGGACUUAACCCAACAUCUCACGACACGAGCUGACGACAGCCAUGCAGCACCUGUGCAAGCUGCCCUUGCGGGCUCGUCACUCUUUCAAGCUUCUACUACUUGCAUGUCAAGGCCAGGUAAGGUUCUUCGCGUUGCAUCGAAUUAAGCCACAUACUCCACCGCUUGUGCAGGCCCCCGUCAAUUUCUUUGAGUUUUAAUCUUGCGACCGUACUUCCCAGGUGGGAUACUUAAUGCUUUCGCUCAGACACUUACAGUUU